GGUUGAUCCUGCCAGUUGUCACAUGCUUGUCUCAAAGAUUAAGCCAUGCAUGUCUAAGUACACACUCUAGCAAAGUGAAACCGCGAAUGGCUCAUUAAAUCAGUUAUGGUUUAUUAGAUCGUGCAAUCCUAAUUGGAUACCUGUGGUAAUUCUAGAGCUAAUACAUGCAACUGGCCCUAACUUUACGGAAGGGCGCUUUUAUUAGAUCAAAAUCAAUCAGGAGCAAUCCUGUUUUUGUGAUGACUCUGGAUAACUUUGUGCCGACCGCAUGGCCUUGCGCCGGCGGCGUAU
rnacentral:rRNA from 1 species